rnacentral:rRNA from 1 species
AUACGUAGGGUGCAAGCGUUAUCCGGAAUUAUUGGGCGUAAAGAGCUCGUAGGCGGCUUGUCGCGUCUGGUGUGAAAGUCCAUCGCUUAACGGUGGUUCUGCGCCGGGUACGGGCAGGCUAGAGUGCGGUAGGGGAGACUGGAAUUCCCGGUGUAACGGUGGAAUGUGUAGAUAUCGGGAAGAACACCAAUGGCGAAGGCAGGUCUCUGGGCCGUCACUGACGCUGAGGCUCGAAAGUAUGGGUAGC